GGAAGUCCCUCCCCGACGGCUGCGCCACAUCCCGGGAGGCUGUAGCUCUGCGGCUCAGAGCCCCGGCGCUGUGGAGGAGAUUCUAGACCGGGAGAACAAGCGGAUGGCGGACACCUUGGCCUCCAAGGUCACCAGGCUCAAGUCGCUGGCCUUGGACAUUGAUAGGGAUGUGGAGGACCAGAACCGGUACCUGGACGGCAUGGACUCGGAUUUCACGAGUGUGACGGGCCUCCUCACGGGGAGUGUGAAGCGCUUUUCCACAAUGGCGAGAUCUGGGCGAGACAACCGGAAGCUUCUCUGUGGUGUGGCCAUGGGCCUGAUCGUGGUCUUCUUCAUCCUCUCCUACCUCCUGUCAAGGGCAAGGACGUGAGCCAGUGGGAACUGGUUUCUGUAGGUACCUGGGACAACCAGGGUCUUCCUCUGCCUUGUGUCCUGGGCUCCAGAAGAUCUACCUACAAAAUACCCCUUCGAAGUGAUGAGCAUGGCUUAGGAAUCUUUUUCCUGUGUGGCUGGGAGCCUCUGACCCAGUAAGCUCAUGUUAGCUGGUCCCAUGUGUGCAAGGGGCCCAUCCCCAUUGGGUAACCAAGGCCCAGCUUCCUCUGCCAUCUUGGGUGCUAGAAGCCCUAGCAGAGCCAGGUUGGAGCAGAGCAGCUGGGAAUCCUGGACGUGACCACCUGUGACCAGCAGCCCUUCCCCCAGCCCUCAGGGUUCUGAUGUAUUGAGGCUUCUCUGCUUGGUCUUGGUCUGGAUAAGGCCACGUCUGGUAUUCGAGGUGCCCAGAGCCGACACAGGAAGGGGUGCGACUGUGAACCUCGAAUCAUUGCUGUCACUUUCAGCCAAGGGUCCUCAAACCAGAGAUGGCCGUUGCUCCUGGCCAGGGCUGCCGGGCACUGGUGGACCAGCAAGAGUCAAGGGUCCUGCCGAGAGGUGUCUGCCUGCCGUCCAACCCCAUGGCUGGAGCCCGACCCUCAGGGAAGGGCAGUGGCCAUGCGUGGAGAAGUGAACUGCAGCAUUGGCUGAAGACGCGGGCCCAGGUCCUCCUGGUCUCCCUGUGUCCAGGAGCAGAAACUGACCUUUUCUCAGGAUUCAGGGUCUGUCCAGCACCGAGACACGUUUCCAGGAGCCCAGAUCUCUAGAAAGAGGCUCAUCUGGCAUGUCAGAGUCAGGCAGGGUGUGAGCAGGGGCCUCUGUGGGUACAGCCUGGAGGCUUCCAGGUAACAGCUUUUCAUAGGAUCUGUAGGUCGCUUUUUGAGGGUCCGCGGACAGUUUCCACCGAGUCUGGCCCUUCCACCUACAGUAUCUGCCCAUCUCUCCUUGGGCCCUCAGUGCCCACUGGUCAGUCUCCUGCUCACACAAGGUGAACUGCAGUUUCUUCCAAACCAAUGGGUCUUUCUACCCCACUGUGAGAUCUCAGUGUCUUCCCAUGAAAACACCUGUAAGAAACGAGUCAUCAGCUCUGUCCUUCCCGUCUUUUGUUCCAGUUCUCUGUCUUCCUGGUCACUCCCCUUCACUCUCUGAGGGCUACCGGCUCACCGGCCAUCUUCACACAUACACAUGUGGUCAUAUGUCAGCCACAGCCUGUGCCUCUCGACUCCUGCCACCCCACCCUGCUCUGGUCUCUGGCCCUGGGCACCUCACCUUCUGGCCCUGCUGCUCCUGCUCCUCCUCUCUCUCUCCUUUGUUCUCCACCGAGCAGGCCUGGCUUGUCUCACACUCACCAUAAUGCCCUUCUCUUUUCCACUGCGCCUGGUUGGGCCUCAGCCUUCUGGAAGGGGAGCGUGCUACCUUCUCAUUUCCGAGUGCUCUGUUCUUACUGCCUCCAUCCCUCCAGUGUGUGCUUGUUUCUCACUCGGUGAGGUCCGCUUCCUUGCCUCCAUGGCUUCGACUCAGCCGUCAGCUCAUCUCAUGUUGAAAUUUGUCACAGGGACGUGCCUACUGUUCAUGAAGCUCAGCAGCUGCUGCCGUGUCGUGUUUCCAUCGGGUCACCACAGGCACGGCAGACACAUCAGACCUGAGUGUGGCAGCCGCCUGUUCUGGGCCUGCUAACCUGGCUUCCUGAGAAUAUGGCUCAGCCAUGGCUGUUGCUCCCCCCAGGAUGCUCUUACCUGCUGUGCCCACUCGUCUUGCCAGUGCAGACCAGGAAUUGAGGAUUUGCCUUUCAGAAUGACUGUCUCAAGAAGUGCUCUGCCCCCUCCGAGACCUCUGGUUGCUGUGUUCUCUCCUUGGGUCCCCACCUCUGCCUCCCCACUUCAUUUCCAUGGCUCUUGGCAGCUCUUCCAGCUAUUUUGGGGUCUGGGUUUUUGUCUCUGUCUGGUUUACUUUUUUGUUGCAUUAGGCUGAGUUCCUGAAUGCUGCUGCCACCACGUCGGCAGGGUUUUCUGUGGGGCCUGCACCCUUCUGCUCAGCCCUGUGCACUCAGCACCUCCUCCUGUGGAUAAGUGGGGUUUGCUAAGUGGCCCUUCAGACUAAAACAGAAGAGGCCUUGGAGUCCUCUGUGCCAAGGGAGGGCCCCAAGUCAAGGACAAGGCAUUUGGUCAUAAAAACUUGGAAUAAACAGAUUC
rnacentral:lncRNA from 1 species